UGUGCCCCUACAGGCAUUGUAGAUGUGGCUGCUGUGUCCCAUGUGUGUCAGUAGGUAGCAGAGAGAAGAGAAGCUAUGUCUAUGCUCAGUGUUCUGACCUGUGAACAUCUGAAUGGUUAGUAGCCUAACAUU